rnacentral:rRNA from 1 species
GACGAACGCUGGCGGCGUGCCCAAUACAUGCAAGUCGAGCGCAGGAAAUCAUCCGAACCCUUCGGGGGGGACGUUGAUGGAAUGAGCGGCGGACGGGUGAGUAACACGUAAAGAACCUGCCCUCAGGUCUGGGAUAACCACGAGAAAUCGGGGCUAAUACCGGAUGGGUCAUCGGACCGCAUGGUCCGAGGAUGAAAGGCGCUUCGGCGUCGCCUGGGGAUGGCUUUGCGGUGCAUUAGCUAGUUGGUGGGGUAAUGGCCCACCAAGGCGACGAUGAAUAGCCGCACUGAGAGGGUGAUCGGCCACACUGGGACUGAGACACGGCCCAGACUCCUACGGGAGGCAGCAGUAGGGAAUCUUCCACAAGGGACGAAAGUCUGAUGGAGCAACGCCGCGUGAACGAUGAAGGCCUUCGGGUCGUAAAGUUCUGUUGUAAGGGAAGAACAAGUGCCGCAGGCAAUGGCGGCACCUUGACGGUACCUUGCGAGAAAGCCACGGCUAACUACGUGCCAGCAGCCGCCGUAAUAC